CGCUGGCGGCGUGCCUAACACAUGCAAGUCAACUUGACUGAAGGAGCAAUCUGACAGUAGAGUGGCGCAAGGGUGCGUAACGCGUAAGUAACUUGCCCAAGGUAAGGAAUAACGUCGAGAAAUCGGCGCUAAUACCUCAUAAUGCAGCGGAUCCGCAUGGAUAUGUUGUUAAAGGUUUACCGCCUUGGGAUAGGCUUGCGUCUGAUUAGUUAGUUGGUGUGGUAACGGCACACCAAGGCUACGAUCAGUAACUGGGUCUGAGAGGAUGAUCAGUCACACUGGAACUGAGACACGGUCCAGACUCCUACGGGAGGCAGCAGUGAGGAAUAUUGGGCAAUGCUCGAAAGAGUGACCCAGCAACGCCGCGUGGAGGAUGAAGGUAUUCUAUAUCGUAAACUCCUGUGAGAGCAGACGAAAGACAGAUUAUUAAUCUGGAUGACUGUAUGCUCAGAGGAAGCCCCGGCUAACUACGUG
rnacentral:rRNA from 1 species